CCUACGGGUGGCUGCAGUGGGGAAUAUUGGACAAUGGGGGGAACCCUGAUCCAGCCAUGCCGCGUGUGUGAAGAAGGCUCUCGGGUUGUAAAGCACUUUCAGUGAGGAAGAACGCCUGGUGGUUAAUACCCAUCAGGAAAGACAUCACUCACAGAAGAAGCACCGGCUAACUCCGUGCCAGCAGCCGCGGUAAUACGGAGGGUGCGAGCGUUAAUCGGAAUUACUGGGCGUAAAGCGCGCGUAGGUGGCUUGAUAAGCCGGUUGUGAAAGCCCCGGGCUCAACCUGGGAACGGCAUCCGGAACUGUCAAGCUAGAGUGCAGGAGAGGAAGGUAGAAUUCCCGGUGUAGCGGUGAAAUGCGUAGAGAUCGGGAGGAAUACCAGUGGCGAAGGCGGCCUUCUGGACUGACACUGACACUGAGGUGCGAAAGCGUGGGUAGCAAACAGGAUUAGAUACCCUAGUAGUC
rnacentral:rRNA from 1 species